rnacentral:lncRNA from 10 species
UGCCUCAACAGUCUGAAUCACGGGAGGUAUUCAUUGGAGAGAAAAUAAGGAAGCAAACAUCAUCAGGUGCUCUUCAUCUGAAUAGAAGAAUAUCAGUACGAUGUUCUGAUUAUAUAAAGUUGUUUGUUUCCCCUUACACUCACAAAAACAUUUUUAUUUUGCGCUGCACAUGUUAACCCUGACGCCAUUCCUCAUACCCCCAUUAAAUAAAUGGACUUUGGAUUCCAAACUCAGUCCAAAUGGCUACAGAGUGAACAAUUUAGUCACCACGGCUGUUGAACAUUAUAAAGAGAUAGCCCCUUCGAUCUCCUUCUAAUCUAAAAAAUUCAUUCCAAGCGUAGUUUUCAUAUAACUGGAGGACAGUUGUUUGAGGAGGGGAGGAGGAUUGGAAACAGUUUGUUUUCUCUUCCCUCGUUCCUCUCAGUGGAUUCAGUGGAUAAAGAGCAGGCACACAUUACAAUAAACAUUUUUAUGGUCCCCAACAUUAGGCAUAUAAAUCCUACCUGUCUUCACACACUUACACACUAAAACUCCCACAGAAAGGGGGAAAAUUAGAAAAGGGGUGAUAUAAUUUGACUCUGUGUCACCACCCAAAUCUCAUCUUGAAUUGUAAUCCCCGUAAUUUCUCACCUGGCAAGAGUGGGACCAGGUGGAGACAAUUGGAUCAUGGGGGCAGUUUUCCCCAUGCUCUUCUCGUGAUAAUGAUUGAGUCUCAUGGGAUCUGAUGAUUCUAUAAGUGUCUGGCUUUUCUCCUACUUGCACUCACUCCAUCCUGCCACCCUGCGAGGAAGGUGCCUGCUUCUUCUUUGCCUUCCGCCGUGAGUGUGAGUCUCCUGAGGCCUCCCCAGCAAUGUGGAACUGGAUACGUCAUGGAACAGAGGGCAACCUGCCUCCUGGAAAUGUGGAGUGUCUAGGGAGUCACAGCUGAGAUCUUCCUUGGAUUAAAGGCUGCGGGUGUCACAAACAGGUAAGCUGUUUUGGAAAGAGAGCAGUCAGAUCUCUCUCAUAUGCCUAUCUAAGGGUCUCUGGUAAAUGGCAGCCAUAAUAUGAGGCUCCAGUUGCAUGAACAUUUGGAGUUUGAUGGCCUGAAGGCAAGAAGAGACAAACCAGAUUAUUAGAAGACAUGUAUCAAAAUGAAACAAGGGGGUAAAGACAGCUCAAAAUUCCCAAGGCUGCUGACAUGCCCAGAUAACUGGUGGAUAUAGUUAUGCCUGCUAAAAGGUGGUUUCAGGUGAAGAUAAGACACUUGUUGGGAACUGGAAUAAAGGUGAUACGCAAAGAGACUGGUGGCAUUUUGUUCCUGCUCUACAGAUC